UACGAAGGUCCCAAGCGUUAUCCGGAUUUAUUGGGUUUAAAGGGUGCGUAGGCGGGUUAUUAAGUCAGUGGUGAAAGCCUUCAGCUUAACUGAAGAAUUGCCAUUGAUACUGAUGAUCUUGAGUAUGAUUGAGGUUGGCGGAAUGUGUCAUGUAGCGGUGAAAUGCUUAGAUAUGACACAGAACACCGAUUGCGAAGGCAGCUAACUAAGUCAUAACUGACGCUGAUGCACGAAAAGCGUGGGGAGCAAACAGG
rnacentral:rRNA from 1 species